rnacentral:rRNA from 1 species
AACGAACGCUGGCGGCAGGCCUAACACAUGCAAGUCGAGCGAGGACUUCGGUCCUAGCGGCGGACGGGUGAGUAACGCGUGGGAACGUACCCUUUGCUACGGAAUAGCCGCGGGAAACUGGGAGUAAUACCGUAUGUGCCCUUCGGGGGAAAGAUUUAUCGGCAAAGGAUCGGCCCGCGUUGGAUUAGGUAGCUGGUGGGGUAAUGGCCUACGAAGCCGACGAUCCAUAGCUGGUUUGAGAGGAUGAUCAGCCACACUGGGACUGAGACACGGCCCAGACUCCUACGGGAGGCAGCAGUGGGGAAUCUUAGACAAUGGGGGAAACCCUGAUCUAGCCAUGCCGCGUGAGCGACGAAGGCCUUAGGGUUGUAAAGCUCUUUCAGCUGGGAAGAUAAUGACGGUACCAGCAGAAGAAGCCCCGGCUAACUCCGUGCCAGCCGCCGCGGUAA